UGUCCGGAUUUAUUGGGCGUAAAGCGAGCGCAGCGCGGUUUUUUAAGUCUGAUGUGAAAGCCUUCGCGCUCAACCGAAGAAGUGCAUCGGAAACUGGGAAACUUGAGUGCAGAAGAGGACAGUGGAACUCCAUGUGUAGCGGUGAAAUGCGUAGAUAUAUGGAAGAACACCAGUGGCGAAGGCGGCUGUCUGGUCUGUAACUGACGCUGAGGCUCGAAAGUAUGGGUAGCAAACAGGAUUAGAUACCCUGGUAGUCCAUACCGUAAACGAUGAAUGCUAAGUGUUGGAGGGUUUCCGCCCUUCAGUGCUGCAGCUAACGCAUUAAGCAUUCCGCCUGGGGAGUACGGCCGCAAGGCUGAAACUCAAAGGAAUUGACGGGGGCCCGCACAAGCGGGGGAGCAUGUGGUUUAAUUCGAAGCUACGCGAAGAACCUUACCAGGUCUUGACAUACUAUGCAAAUCUAAGAGAUUAGACGUUCCCUUCGGGGACAUGGAUACAGGUGGUGCAUGGUUGUCGUCAGCUCGUGUCGUGAGAUGUUGGGUUAAGUCCCGCAACGAGCGCAACCCUUUAUUAUCAGUUGCCAGCAUUAAGUUGGGCACUCUGGUGAGACUGCCGGGUGACAAACCGGAGGAAAGGUGGGGAUGACGUCAAAUCAUCAUGCCCCUUAUGACCUGGGCUACACACGUGCUACAAUGGAUGGUACAACGAGUUGCGAACUCGCGAGAGUAAGCUAAAUCUCUUAAAGCCAUUCUCAGUUCGGAUUGUAGGCUGCAACUCGCCUACAUGAAGUCGGAAUCGCUAAGUAAUCGCGGAAUCAGCAUGCCGCGGUGAAU
rnacentral:rRNA from 2 species